GCUUGCUUUGGUCAAGCAUACUAACAUUGGAACGAUACAGAGAAGAUUAACAUGGCCCCUGCACAAGGAUGACAAGAAAAUUUGUGAAGCGUUCCUCAUUUAA